rnacentral:rRNA from 1 species
UGGGGAAUAUUGCACAAUGGGCGCAAGCCUGAUGCAGCAACGCCGCGUGAAUGAUGAAGGCCUUCGGGUCGUAAAGUUCUGUCCAAAGGGAAGAAUACAGUGACGGUACCUUUGGAGGAAGCCCCGGCUAACUACGUGCCAGCAGCCGCGGUAAUACGUAGGGGGCAAGCGUUAUCCGGAAUCACUGGGCGUAAAGGGAGCGUAGGCGGUUAAACAAGCCAGAGGUGAAAGGCAAUAGCUUAACUAUUGUAAGCCUUUGGAACUGUUUGACUUGAGUGCAGGAGAGGAAAGUGGAAUUCCUAGUGUAGCGGUGAAAUGCGUAGAUAUUAGGAGGAACACCAGUGGCGAAGGCGACUUUCUGGACUGUAACUGACGCUGAGGCUCGAAAGCGUGGGGAGCGAACA